AGCAGCCGCGGUAAUUCCAGCUCCAAUAGCGUAUAUUAAAGUUGUUGCAGUUAAAAAGCUCGUAGUUGAAUUUCGGGAUCAGAUUGUCGGUCGUGCCUCGGUACGCACUGGCAUUAUUGGUUCCUACCUUCUGAAGAACCGCGAUGUCAUUAAUUUGGUGUCACGGGGAAUCAGGACUGUUACUUUGAAAAAAUUAGAGUGUUUAAAGCAGGCGCACGCUUGAAUACAUUAGCAUGGAAUAAUGAAAUAGGACGUUUGAUUCUAUUUUGUUGGUUUCUAGGAUCGACGUAAUGAUUAAUAGGGAUAGUUGGGGGCAUUAGUAUUCAAUUGUCAGAGGUGAAAUUCUUGGAUUUAUUGAAGACUAACUACUGCGAAAGCAUUUGCCAAGGAUGUUUUCAUUAAUCAAGAACGAAAGUUAGGGGAUCGAAGACGGUCAGAUACCGUCGUAGUCUUAACCAUAAACUAUAGCCGACUAGGGAUCGGAUGAUGUAAUUUUUAAUGACUCAUUCGGCGCCUUAAC
rnacentral:rRNA from 1 species